AAAAUCUAGGGAUAUACACACGGACCCGCCGAAUACAAAAAACGAACCUCUCCCCUGUCCUUCAUCUUCUUCAUCAACCUGGAGGCAACCACCAACUCCAAGACCAACAACAACAUCACAACAGCCCUUCACCAGUUCAACGAACACAGCCACCCCGUCGUUCCCACUUCAUCCCUGAACCUUAAAGUCGUUGGAACCUCUAUUUUCUCGACUGAACGGAACCGGUGACACCACCACCUUCUCCAACCAAAGCUCGUCAGAAUACGCACACACGUCGUCACGUACAAAGACCAAAACGGGACAGAAAUCAAGGGAAUAAUAGUGAGGCUUGAGGAACCCAUUUUGCAGAUCUUCAUUUGUUCUUUGAAAUCCAAAAAGAUACAAAAAAAAAGUAACAUAUUUUCUGUUUCGUUCUUUAUUUUUGAUUCUGGGUUGUGUUCAAGGAUGGACUCUGAUUGAAAUGUGGUUUUGAAUUCGGGUUUGGGUUGAGCCUUCCGGUGUUAAUUCGGAUCCCAUCGAUUAUUUGGUUUUCCGGUGAGGAUUCAAUCCAUCGAGGUUCCAUCGUGGUCUCCGGCUUACGGUCUAUUUGUGUUCAACUAUAGUGUCGCAUUUUUCUUGUAAACUAGUUGGAAUAUCUUUAAUAUAUUGAAAGAUUUCAAAGGUCCGUUCUUCUUUCCUUCACUGUUUAGCUCUUAAUAUCAUGUUUUGACAACUUCCCUUAAUCUCUUAUUGAAUGUUUGUGUUAGUUCGUAAAAAAACUUAAAAGACUGUGAUGACUUAUACUUAUAUUUCUUUAGAAACCCAGAGCAUGAGGGUUUGGCUUAUCUCAUUAAUUUUUGUCGAGCUUACUGUGUUGUUCUCUUUUUGUGAGUUUAGUUAUUGGUGUUAUUAUCUUGAUUUCAUGAAAGUUCAAAGAAGAACCAGGCCAGUAGAGUUAUAUUAAUGUCGUAGUCAAUUUGGUAUCGUGCUAAUAAUAAUGACAAUCAUAUGAUGAGGAAAAUUAAUUGUUAAUUAAUAAGGAUUAAGAUCAUAGUGCCACUAGUUUUUUGAAUCAAACAUGAGUAGGAAGAUUUUAUCUUUCUUUAAAGAGUUAAGGUCUCUAGUUGUGAUUUGUUGAAGUAUUCUAAUUUAUAAUUAUUCUAGUACAUGGAUAGUGCUGAAAUUUCUUUUGGCACACUUGAAAAUGCAUUAGCAUCUUAAUAAUGGAGAGAGAUGAUGAUUUAGGAUGUACAGGCGAUAACCAUUUUCGGCCUAUGUACACGUUCGCGUAACAUAGUUACAAUAUUUUAAAAAUAAAAAUCAAGGUAUGCGUUCACGCAACUUUGGCCAAGCUUUUCCUAAAUAUGCGUUCGCGCAACUUUGGCCAAGCUUUUCCUAAAUAACUAAGUGUUAGGAAUUGUGGACACGUACGCGUGACAUGAUUUUUGACACACCGAGCGAAGUGAGUACACGUACGCGUGACUCAUUUCAGGUUAUUUCUUAAUUAAAACGGUUAAGGGAAGGGAUACACAUAGGUUCUAAAAUGAGUAAUUAAACAUUUUUAAUAAGUCAAGUAUGAUCAAAGCGACCGUGCUAGAACCACGAAACUCGGGAAUGCUUAACACCUUCUCCUGGGUUAAUAGAAUUCUUUACCCAGACUUCUGUGUUCGCAAACUGUAUAACAGAGUCAAUCUUUCCUCGAUUCGGGAUCUUAAACUUGUGACUUGGGACACCAUAAAUUAUCUCAAGUGGAGACUCUGAUUUUUUUAAAAAAAUAAAAUGAUCCCGUUUCGAUUGUCACUUAAAUUGGCAAAAACUCCCUUAUACCCUUUCCGGGGGUAGGAAAAAGGAGGUGUGACAGCUCUGGCGACUCUGCUGGGGACCGAACCCAAAAUCUCUGGUUCAAGGUUCAAGAAUUCGAGCUUGUUUCAUGAUUUUUACUUGGCUUUAUUUAUUGUUCAUAAUACUGUAUUAUGUGAACCUUUGUGCUAAUUGCUAUCUGUUUACCGCUUUAAUAUUGUUGGAACUAUAUAUAACUAUCUUCUUACGCCACCCAUCUGAGUCUUCUGAAAAUGGUGCACAUGUUCGCGUGGCCUGCUUUUUCUGUAAAAAUUAUACCAAAUAGAACGAGGCUGGGCAAGCGACAAGGCCGGGCAAACUUCAGUGCUCCCGGUACGUCGCCCCCUCUUCGGCCCUAGUUGUCCGCUCGGGUUCCCCAAGUCUAGACCAAAACCCCAGGAUUUAAACAUAGAAAAAAUACAGUUUCAUGCCGGAUCCCUAGUAGGAACGUUUGUUUGCAUCAUGUGCAUUUGACUUAGGGGACUCAAAACAGGAGCUGGGUCCGUCUAGGGAAACCAUCCUGAUGCAUUCUAUGUGCUAUGUGAUUUUUUAUUUGUUUCGGCUUGCAUGCUGACCGGCUAGGAAAAAUAAAAUAAAAAAUCCAAAAGUGAUGUAGGGAAGAAAUAAAGCCCAGUUCUAAAGAAAAACACGGUAUUUGAAAACAUCCCGAAACUCUGCCAAAAAUUUUCAAAAAAAAGAGAGAGUUAUUUCAAAAAAAGUCAAACACUGUGGCUUUUCAAAUGUGUCAAAGCUGACCGAACUACGCAGGUCUGAUUCUCACCGGAUGUGGGAUACGUAGGCAACAUACAUAAGGUUCGGCCUUAUUUUUGAAAAAAAACAACAAGAAAAAGAGAAUUAGUGGUCAAGUAAAUGUAGUUUGAAGUUUUGGUCAAAAUAAGAUGAUCCAGCUUCAGUAAUGUCUUAAACCGUUCUUGCCUGGAUAGCCUUAGAGUAUUUCCAAUUGUCGAAAGACUAUUUUCGUAAAAAGAACGUACAAGCUUGUAAAGUGUCAUAAAAUAGUCCUCCCCGACCUCAAAAUUCAUAUGGAAUUGGGAAGGGGACACGUUUGUAAAAACAGACAUUUGGCUAAAAUCGCCAUAUAUGGGAAGGAAUCAUGGUCCUUGAUUUUUUUCGCGUAAAAAAAACAAAAAUUUUGGAAAUCUGUGUUACAAAAAAAAAGCCCACUAGAGUCAACCCUAACCUUAACCUUCCACAGGAACAAAUGAAUAUUAUCCAGGAUCCACCAGAAGUGGUCAGGAGCAGGCUCAGUUGCACUUGCGUAUGUGGUGGAAUGAUCUAAAUGAAGAUGGUCAGAAAUGGGUGAAAAAGUUGUUGGGUGCCAUUAUGAACAUUUUU
rnacentral:lncRNA from 1 species